rnacentral:rRNA from 1 species
CCUACGGGAGGCAGCAGUGGGGAAUAUUGGGCAAUGGAGGAAACUCUGACCCAGCGACGCCGCGUGCGGGAUGAAGGCCUUCGGGUUGUAAACCGCUUUCAGUAGGGAAGAAGCGAAAGUGACGGUACCUACAGAAGAAGCACCGGCUAACUAUGUGCCAGCAGCCGCGGUAAUACAUAGGGUGCAAGCGUUGUCCGGAAUUAUUGGGCGUAAAGAGCUCGUAGGUGGUUCGUCACGUCGGAUGUGAAAAUCUGGGGCUCAACCCCAGACCUGCAUUCGAUACGGGCGAUCUAGAGUGUGGUAGGGGAGACUGGAAUUCCUGGUGUAGCGGUGGAAUGCGCAGAUAUCAGGAGGAACACCAAUGGCGAAGGCAGGUCUCUGGGCCAUUACUGACACUGAGGAGCGAAAGCGUGGGGAGCGAACAGGAUUAGAUACCCUGGUAGUCCACGCCGUAAACGGUGGGCACUAGUUGUGGGAACCUUCCACGGUUUCUGCGACGCAGCUAACGCAUUAAGUGCCCCGCCUGGGGAGUACGAUCGCAAGAUUAAAACUCAAAGGAUUGACGG